GCAUGCACGUCGAGCGAAGCUUUUUGGUAGUUUACUACUAGAAAUGACUGAGCGGCGAACGGGUGAGUAACGCGUGAGCAAUCUACCUUAGUUACUGGGAUAGCCCGAGGAAACUCGGAUUAAUACCAGAUAUUCUUAUUUUUUCACAUGAAGUUUUAAGGAAAGGUCAGCCGAACUAAGAUGAGCUCGCGUUCUAUCAGCUAGUUGGUGGGGUAAAAGCCUACCAAGGCUACGACGGAUAGCUGGUCUGAGAGGACGAUCAGCCACACUGGGACUGAGACACGGCCCAGACUCCUACGGGAGGCUGCAGCAGGGAAUAUUGUGCAAUGAGCGAAAGCUUGACACAGCGACACCGCGUGUGGGAUGACGGUUCUAGGAUUGUAAACCACUUUCAGGAGGGAAGAAAAUGACGGUACCUCCACAAGAAGACCCGGCCAACUAUGUGCCAGCAGCCGCGGUAAUACAUAGGGGUCAAGCGUUGUCCGGAUUUAUUGGGCGUAAAGAGCUCGUAGGCGGUUCAACAAGUCGGUCGUAAAAGUUUAGGGCUCAACCCUAAAAUGUCGAUCGAUACUGUUGUGACUAGGAUACGGUAGAGGUGAAUGGAAUUCCGAGUGUAGCGGUGAAAUGCGUAGAUAUUCGGAGGAACACCCAUUGCGAAGGCAGUUCACUGGACCGUGAUCGACGCUGAGGAGCGAAAGCUAGGGGAG
rnacentral:rRNA from 1 species